GGGUUGUGAGGUUAAGCGACUAAGCGUACACGGUGGAUGCCCUGGCAGUCAGAGGCGAUGAAGGGCGUACUAAUCUGCGAUAAGCGCCGGUAAGGUGAUAUGAACCGUUAUAACCGGCGAUACCCGAAUGGGGAAACCCAGUGUGAUUCGUCACACUAUCAUUAACUGAAUCCAUAGGUUAAUGAGGCGAACCGGGGGAACUGAAACAUCUAAGUACCCCGAGGAAAAGAAAUCAACCGAGAUUCCCCCAGUAGCGGCGAGCGAACGGGGAGGAGCCCAGAGCCUGAAUCAGCAUGUGUGUUAGUGGAAGCGUCUGGAAAGGCGCGCGAUACAGGGUGACAGCCCCGUACACAAAAGCGCAUGUGCUGUGAGCUCGAUGAGUAGGGCGGGACACGUGGUAUCCUGUCUGAAUAUGGGGGGACCAUCCUCCAAGGCUAAAUACUCCUGACUGACCGAUAGUGAACCAGUACCGUGAGGGAAAGGCGAAAAGAACCCCGGCGAGGGGAGUGAAAAAGAACCUGAAACCGUGUACGUACAAGCAGUGGGAGCACCCUUUGGGUGUGACUGCGUACCUUUUGUAUAAUGGGUCAGCGACUUAUAUUCUGUAGCAAGGUUAACCGAAUAGGGGAGCCGGAGGGAAACC
rnacentral:rRNA from 1 species